CCAGAGAUGGAUUUGUGCCUUCGGGAACUGUGAGACAGGUGCUGCAUGGCUGUCGUCAGCUCGUGUUGUGAAAUGUUGGGUUAAGUCCCGCAACGAGCGCAACCCUUAUCCUUUGUUGCCAGCGGUCCGGCCGGGAACUCAAAGGAGACUGCCAGUGAUAAACUGGAGGAAGGUGGGGAUGACGUCAAGUCAUCAUGGCCCUUACGACCAGGGCUACACACGUGCUACAAUGGCGCAUACAAAGAGAAGCGACCUCGCGAGAGCAAGCGGACCUCAUAAAGUGCGUCGUAGUCCGGAUUGGAGUCUGCAACUCGACUCCAUGAAGUCGGAAUCGCUAGUAAUCGUGGAUCAGAAUGCCACGGUGAAUACGUUCCCGGGCCUUGUACACACCGCCCGUCACACCAUGGGAGUGGGUUGCAAAAGAAGUAGGUAGCUUAACCUUCGGGAGGGCGCUUACCACUUUGUGAUUCAUGACUGGGGUGAAGUCGUAACAAGGUAACCGUAGGGGAACCUGC
rnacentral:rRNA from 2 species